rnacentral:rRNA from 1 species
AUGGCCAUGGCCGGCGAAUGCACGACCGGAGCCGGAGGAGCAACGCGCCGCCUCAUUCUCAUCAUAACAGCACUCGUGGCAUUGAUGCUGCUGCAGCGUCCCUGCUGCUGCACUGCCGCUUCCCAGCCGGGCUCGAGCCAGACGCGGCCGCCGGCGCUGAUCCUGUUCGGGGACUCCAUCGUGGACCCGGGCAACAACAACGGCCUCACCACGGCGGUGCGGUGCGACUUCGCGCCCUACGGCCAGGACUUCCCCGCCCACAACGCCACCGGCAGGUUCAGCAACGGCAAGAUCGUCGGCGACAUCCUCGCCGCCCGGAUGGGCCUGAAGCAGUACGUGCCGGCGUACCUCGGCACGGAGCUCAGCGACUCGGACCUCCUCACCGGCGUCAGCUUCGCCUCCGGUGGCUGCGGCUUCGACCCCCUCACGGCCGAGAUCGUGUCGGUUCUGAGCAUGGACGACCAGCUGGAGCUGUUCAAGGAGUACAAGGGUAAGAUCGGCCGCAUCGCCGGCGCGCAGCGAGCCGCCGACAUCGUCUCGACGAGCCUCUACCUGGUGGUGACCGGCACCGACGACCUGGCCAACACCUACUUCACGACGCCGCUCCGGCGAGACUACGACCUCGAGUCCUACAUCGAGUUCAUCGUGCAGUGCGCCUCGGCCUUCAUCCAGAAGCUGCACGGGCUGGGCGCGCGGCGGGUGAGCGUCGCCGGCGCCCCGCCCAUCGGGUGCGUGCCGUCGCAGCGGACCAACGCCGGCGGCGAGGAGAGGGCGUGCGUGUCCCUGUACAACCAGGCGGCCGUGCUGUACAACGCGGCGCUGGAGAAGGAGCUCCGACGGCUCAACGGCACGGCGCUGCUCCCGGGGUCGGUGCUCAAGUACAUCGACCUCUACACGCCGCUGCUGGACAUGAUCCAGCGCCCGGCCGCCUACGGCUUCCAGGUGUCCGACCGCGGCUGCUGCGGCACCGGCCUGUUCGAGGUGACGCUCACCUGCAACAGGUACACGGCGCACGCCUGCAGCGACCCGACCAAGUUCCUCUUCUGGGACACCUACCACCUCACCGAGACGGGCUACAACCUCCUCAUGGCGCAGAUCAUCAAUCGCUACGGCUUGUGGUAG